UGCAUAUCCAAAUAAGCGGAGGAAAAGAAACCAACAGGGAUUGCCUCAGUAGCGGCGAGUGAAGCGGCAAAAGCUCAGAUUUGAAAUCGUGUUUCGGCACGAGUUGUAGAUUGCAGGUUGGAGUCUUUGUGGAAGCGUGUGUCUAAGUCCCUUGGAACAGGGUGCCAUUGAGGGUGAGAGCCCCGUGAGACGCGUGCGGAAGCUGUAAGGCCCUUCUGACGAGUCGAGUUGUUUGGGAAUGCAGCUCUAAGUGGGUGGUAAAUUCCAUCUAAGGCUAAAUAUUGGCGAGAGACCGAUAGCGAACAAGUACUGUGAAGGAAAGAUGAAAAGCACUUUGAAAAGAGAGUGAAACAGCACGUGAAAUUGUUGAAAGGGAAGGGUAUUGGGCUCGACAUGGGAUUUGCGCACCGCUGCUCCUUGUGGGCGGCGCUCUGUGCUUUUCCUGGGCCAGCAUCGGUUUUUGCCGCAGGAGAAGGCGUGCUGGAAUGUGGCUCUUCGGAGUGUUAUAGCCAGUGCGAGAUGCUGCGUGCGGGGACCGAGGACUGCGACAUCUGUCUCGGAUGCUGGCACAACGGCGCAAUACCGCCCGUCUUGAACAACCGGACCAA
rnacentral:rRNA from 1 species